rnacentral:rRNA from 1 species
UACGUAGGCAGCAAGCGUUAUCCGGAUUUACUGGGUUUAAAGGGUGCGUAGGCGGGUUGAUAAGUCAGGGGUGAAACCUCCGAGCUUAACUCGGAAACUGCCUUUGAUACUAUCAGUCUUGAAUUCAGUUGAGGUGGGCGGAAUGUGUCGUGUAGCGGUGAAAUGCUUAGAUAUGACACAGAACACCAAUUGCGAAGGCAGCUCGCUAAACUGACAUUGACGCUGAGGCACGAAAGCGUGGGGAGCAAACAGG